ensembl:snRNA U6 U6 spliceosomal RNA
GUGUUCACUUCAACAGCACAUAUACUAAAAUUUGAAUGAUAUAGAGAUUAGCAUGGCCUGUGUGCAAGAGUGACAUGCAAGUUUGUGAAACAUUCUAUAUUUUU